CUCCCGGACGAGGCAGACCCCGUCGUCGACGGCAUCCUGGCAGCGGCGCCGUUGCUCGCCGUUUGCAGCAACCUGGGUAUCGCGGUGUACGACUGCAACACGGGGGCCUGUCUGGACUUUCGUCCCUACGCAGAUUUGUUGGGGCAGAGCCCUCCCUGGUGUCCACGGCGGUCUUAUCGGGCCGCUCGCCGGGCAGGAUGACCUGCCUGGUGGGCGCGCUGGUGGGCUGCGGCCCCAGGACCCACCUGGUCCACCUCGCCUGCAGCCCCAGAGAGCACCUUCCCCACGCGUCAGGGAUCAGCUUCCUCAACCUGUCGUCGUUGACGCCGCGCUCCCCGCUCCGCGCUCAGUUUGUCCGGCCAGCCGUCGACGGCGUGACCGCGGCCUACGGGAAGGGAGCGCCAGCGUCCUCGUCGUCGAGAUCUUCGAGUCGGAGCUUGGCGCCCACGGCGCCGCC